rnacentral:sRNA from 1 species
GACAAACUCAGACAUCGUGGAGCUCCCACAGGGAUGUCCUGUGCCGCAAUCUUGAAGUCAUUCCAGAUAUUGCUUUAACCUACCAGAACUUGUACUCCUU